rnacentral:rRNA from 1 species
AACACGGAGAGUUUGAUCCUGGCUCAGGAUGAACGCUGGCGGUCUGCUUAACACAUGCAAGUCGAACGGACUCUUCGGAGUUAGUGGCGGACGGGUGAGUAACGCGUGAGAAUCUGCCUCUAGGACUGGGACAACAGAAGGAAACUUCUGCUAAUCCCGGAUGAGCCGCAAGGUGAAAGAUUUAUCGCCUAGAGAUGAGCUCGCGUCUGAUUAGCUAGUUGGUAAGGUAAAAGCUUACCAAGGCAACGAUCAGUAGCUGGUCUGAGAGGAUGAUCAGCCACACUGGGACUGAGACACGGCCCAGACUCCUACGGGAGGCAGCAGUGGGGAAUUUUCCGCAAUGGGCGCAAGCCUGACGGAGCAAGACCGCGUGGGGGAGGAAGGCUCUUGGGUUGUAAACCCCUUUUCUCAGGGAAGAACCAAAUGACGGUACCUGAGGAAUCAGCCUCGGCUAACUCCGUGCCAGCAGCCGCGGUAAUACGGAGGAGGCAAGCGUUAUCCGGAAUGAUUGGGCGUAAAGCGUUCGUAGGUGGCUAUUCAAGUCUGCUGUCAAAGACAGAAGCUCAACUUCUGAAAGGCAGUGGAAACUGAGUAGCUGGAGUGCGGUAGGGGCAGAGGGAAUUCCCGGUGUAGCGGUGAAAUGCGUAGAGAUCGGGAAGAACACCGGUGGCGAAAGCGCUCUGCUGGGCCGCAACUGACACUGAGGGACGAAAGCUAGGGGAGCGAAUGGGAUUAGAUACCCCAGUAGUCCUAGCUGUAAACGAUGGAAACUAGGUGUUGCCUGUAUCGACCCAGGCAGUGCCGUAGCUAACGCGUUAAGUUUCCCGCCUGGGGAGUACGCACGCAAGUGUGAAACUCAAAGGAAUUGACGGGGGCCCGCACAAGCGGNUGCAUGGCUGUCGUCAGCUCGUGUCGUGAGAUGUUGGGUUAAGUCCCGCAACGAGCGCAACCCUCGUUCUUAGUUGCCAUCAUUAAGUUGGGCACUCUAGGGAGACUGCCGGUGACAAACCGGAGGAAGGUGGGGAUGACGUCAAGUCAUCAUGCCCCUUACGUCCUGGGCUACACACGUACUACAAUGGGAAGGACAGAGGGCAGCCACUUCGCGAGGAGGAGCUAAUCCCGUAAACCUUUCCUCAGUUCAGAUUGCAGGCUGCAACUCGCCUGCAUGAAGGAGGAAUCGCUAGUAAUCGCAGGUCAGCAUACUGCGGUGAAUCCGUUCCCGGGCCUUGUACACACCGCCCGUCACACCAUGGAAGUUAGCCAUGCCCGAAGUCAUUACUCUAACCUUUCGAGGAGGAGGGUGCCGAAGGCAGGGCUGAUGACUGGGGUGAAGUCGUAACAAGGUAGCCGUANAGCUAACCCCAAUU